CAGUCGCCACGGUAAUACAGAGGGUGCGAGCGUUAAUCGGAUUUACUGGGCGUAAAGCGUGCGUAGGCGGCUUUUUAAGUCGGAUGUGAAAUCCCUGAGCUUAACUUAGGAAUUGCAUUCGAUACUGGGAAGCUAGAGUAUGGGAGAGGAUGGUAGAAUUCCAGGUGUAGCGGUGAAAUGCGUAGAGAUCUGGAGGAAUACCGAUGGCGAAGGCAGCCAUCUGGCCUAAUACUGACGCUGAGGUACGAAAGCAUGGGAGCAAACAGGAUUAGAUACCCCAGUAGUCCCUGUCUCUUAUACA
rnacentral:rRNA from 1 species